rnacentral:piRNA from 1 species
UAACUGAGUAUUUUCUUAGGAGAGUGGA